GUGGGGGUUUAUCCAUCGGCAGAACUCGGGAAUGCUGCGGAGACUCGAUCACGGGAGAGAAGUCGUCGAAGGUCAAACGCCAGUAGAAUCCCUGAGUGGUCACUCCUAACACGAACUUCGGCUGGGGGGAGAUUUUAUACCCAACACCAGUCUCCCUACUUCCGAGUUUGAGUUUCGAACGAAGGAAGUACAAAAAAAAUUUCACAGUCGAAGUUGUUUUCUUGAAUUCUGCGC
rnacentral:lncRNA from 1 species